UGAGACAGUGUGUCCUCCCUCU
rnacentral:miRNA from 1 species